GCCGGGGUGGUGGAACUGGCAGACACAAGGGACUUAAAAUCCCUUGGGGGCUUCCCCGUGGGGGUUCGAAUCCCCUCCCCGGCA
rnacentral:tRNA from 1 species